rnacentral:rRNA from 1 species
GAUGAACGCUGGCGGCGUGCCUAAUACAUGCAAGUCGAGCGGCAGCGCGAGUAGUUUACUACUUGGCGGCGAGCGGCGGACGGCUGAGUAACACGUAGGAACGUACCCCGAAGUGAGGGAUAACUGCUCGAAAGAGUAGCUAAUACCGCAUGUGAUCUAAGGAUUAAAGCUUUAUGCGCUUUGGGAACGGCCUGCGUCCGAUUAGCUAGUUGGUGAGGUAAAAGCUUACCAAGGCGACGAUCGGUAGCUGGUCUGAGAGGAUGAUCAGCCAGACUGGGACUGAGACACGGCCCAGACUCCUACGGGAGGCAGCAGUAGGGAAUUUUCCACAAUGGGCGAAAGCCUGAUGGAGCAACGCCGCGUGCAGGAUGAAUGCCUUCGGGUUGUAAACUGCUUUUAUAUGUGACGAUUGUGACGGUAGCAUAUGAAUAAGGAUCGGCCAACUCCGUGCCAGCCGCCGCGGUAA